rnacentral:tRNA from 1 species
GGAGGUGUGGCUCAGUGGUAGAGGCCUUACUUAGCAAGUGUGAAACCCUGAGUUCAAACCCCAGUACUGCCA